ensembl:piRNA 21ur-1596 ncRNA
UAUUAACCACGAUCAGUACUG